UCUUGCACUGGAACCUCCUGUGUUCCAUUUUGCAACCAUUGUCCCUUGUCCUGUCAUUGGUUGUCAAUGUCAAUCAGCACUUUUUCGGCCCCCGAACACAAGGGAGGGGCAGCCACGCCGCUGUCGCUGACUUUCCCCCAUUGACUGAGUUUAUUUUCACCCAGCCUGCCCGGGAAAGGCCGUCCCGGGACGCGGGCCCGCCCCGAGGGGAGCGGCCGAGGCGGCGCCUGCGGAGUCACCUCAGCGGGGCGGCGGGGACCGCGCUCUCUGUGCGCCGGCUGCCGAGGGGUAAGCGGGGUGGGGGUGCUGGGACCUCCGCUCUGGCCGCCAUGAGGGUUUCCAGCUGGCGGAGGCUGAGCUGUGUGACCCGGCUCUGGGUGCCAGGGGCUCUCUGGACCAUGCACCCGCAGGUCCGGCUCCUCACCAGCGUUCCCCAUCGAUGAAAACCCCGCGUUUGGCAGCAGUGUGACCCGUGCCCGUGGGGCUGUGAGCCCACAACUGCACGUGAGGCGCAGGGACAGCUUGGAGCGGCGUGGGUGAGGGCUCAGCACACACCAGCACGGGGAGAUGGGCAAAAAACGGUUUGUUCUGCCCUUGUGUGUGACCCAGGGCUGUCAGACUCGUCACCAGGGCCACAUCAGCCUCGUGGUUGCCUUCAAAGGGCCAAAGGGAAUUUUAGGACUAUUUAUACAGCCCUGUUUUAAAAGGUCUAUAUAAACUAAAUCAAAUAGAUUUAAAUCUUGCAUUUUUAAAUGCCAGAUGUAGUUUUAAUUAAGAAAAGCAAAUGUUUGUAAUAAUCUACUAAAUGUGAAACUGGUUUUGAGAGCAAUAGGAAAGUAAAAGGCUUUCAGAAUAGGAUCAGAAAUGGCACGUGGCUUCUUUCCACUCUAUGGCAACUCAAUAGUUUCACCAGUUACAGUAACACUGGUGGAAACUCAACAGUUUUCACUCAAUAACUGCAAUUACAUAUUAACUAAAAAGGGAUAAAACCUUCAGAUACUUUAAUGCAGGCUUCAGCUUUUUUGAUAGUUCUCUCUGACCCUCCUCGUGCUCCAAACAGUGACACAUGAACACAUUUAAUAAUCAGAAAUAACCGUAGAAAUUACAGCACACCACACAUUGCUUGAGCAACUUGAAAUCUCCCUGUUGGCCCAAGCAGAAGAGGGAAACGCUGCUGUUGUGUAAUAAUGCAGCAUACGGCUGGUAAAAUUAUAAUUACCUGAGAGAAAAACAAACAGAAGAAAGUCAUUUUAAAAACUGUGCUGUGCUCUCUGCUAAGCCCCACAUCGCCAGGGGAACGUGCUUUUGGGUUUCUGCUUCCUCCUGUCCUUUAAAAACACAGGUUUGAGUGGUGUUUGGCCCAGCGGUAGUCAGCUGCCCGUUGCUGCUCCGUGCUGGGGUCGGUGUUAUGCCGCUGGGAGAGAAACGCGCCGCCGAGUCGCUCCUGGCGCCGCCGGGGCUGUUCUAGUGCCGGCCGGGCCGGGUUUCGGCAGCGCUCUGCAUGCUUGAGAGUGGAGCGACUCCUGCGUGGAGUCAGUCCUGGAUUGGAUGCAGACAGCGCACAGUCUAAAUACAUAAAUAAAUCUGUUGCAGAUAUUUUGCUUAAUAUCGAGUUAUAUAAAAACGAAGGUCAGGUAAUUUAACUGGUCAGCGUUAAGGGUUGAAUUUGGGGUCUUUAGAGAUGCUCCUGUUAACUGUGUUUUUUAAUUACAGGCAGUGGUUUGGACGUUUUGCCGCAGGUGGGGGCUCGCUGGGCCAGUAGUUGUCAGAAGAAAAGGAAUCAGCUGUUGGUGCCUCUUUGAAAGAACUUGAGAAGAUGGGAACUUCCACAGUAUAAAUGGCAAUACUUUUCAGGACCUGGAUGUGGCAGCUUGAAACAUCAAAGGUGGUUGGGGGCAAGGUGUAACAGGAAUUACACACAUAAUUUGUUAAUUGGUAAUCCCCUCUCACUGCUUAAAAUAUUUUUCUUCUGUGACCUCUAUUUAUUAAACCUAUUUUUAUGUAAA